AUGCUUACCAACAUCUUGCUGACAGAGGACAUGGAGCCUAAGCUGUCUGAUUUUGGGCUAGCAAAAACGCUGCAAAUGGAGGAGACCAAGGUCUUCACAUAUGUGGGGGGAACCAUUGGUUACAUGGAUACUGAGUACAUAACACACUCCAAGCUUACUUGCGUGCAAGUGAUAUCUACAGCUUUGGCGUGGUUGUGCUGCAGCUUCUGUCAGGAAGAAAGGUCAUCGAACUUGACAUUGUUCCACGCGAUUCUCUCACCAAGAAGGCCAAAGAUGCAUCGCCCCUCGGCCUCUCCCCGGAGGCAAAGCCCGCGCCGCCGCUCCAGUCACUGGCUGCGCCGCCGGCUUGUCCCUAUCCUCGAACGCCCUGUAGAAAUCUAG
rnacentral:rRNA from 1 species